AUUGAACGCUGGCGGCAUGCUUUACACAUGCAAGUCGAACGGUAACAGGCCGCUAGGUGCUGACGAGUGGCGAACGGGUGAGUAAUGCAUCGGAACGUGCCCAGUCGUGGGGGAUAACUACUCGAAAGAGUAGCUAAUACCGCAUACGAUCUAUGGAUGAAAUCGGGGGACCGUAAGGCCUCGCGCGAUUGGUGCGGCCGAUGUCAGAUUAGGUAGUUGGUGGGGUAAAGGCUCACCAAGCCAACGAUCUGUAGCUGGUCUGAGAGGACGACCAGCCACACUGGGACUGAGACACGGCCCAGACUCCUACGGGAGGCAGCAGUGGGGAAUUUUGGACAAUGGGCGCAAGCCUGAUCCAGCAAUGCCGCGUGCAGGAAGAAGGCCUUCGGGUUGUAAACUGCUUUUGUACGGAACGAAACGGCUCUGGUUAAUACCCGGGGCUAAUGACGGUACCGUAAGAAUAAGCACCGGCUAACUACGUG
rnacentral:rRNA from 1 species